rnacentral:rRNA from 1 species
AUGGCCGCCGCCGCCGCGCUCUGCCGGGCCCUCGCCCUGGCACCGGCGCUGCUCCUCCGCCGCCAGGCCCUCGUGCGCCUCCUCUCCACACAGGCCCAGUCCUCUACGGCCCCCACCAUCAGCCCCGCCGAGCUCAUCCGCAUCAAGAACUCCAUCCACAGCGCCGCCACGCCGCCCGACGAGCUCGCCGCCCUCUUCCUGAAAGGCAUCCCGCACCUGCCCUUCCUCGGCGACCGCUCCAUCUUCUCCCUCACCGUCUCCCGCCUCACCGCCGCCGCCCGCCCCGACCUCGUCUGCUCCGUGCUCUCCGCCUUCCUCACCGCCCUCCCAUCGCCGCACCCCUCCGAGGGCUUCCUCAUCCGCCUCAUCGCGCUCUACGCCGCCAUCGGCAUGCCCACACACUCCCUCUCCACCUUCCUCCUUGUCGUGGCCCCUCCGCCCUCCUCGCCGUCUACUACGACACCGGCUAGCCCGCCCGCGCCAUCUAGGCCUUCCGCGACCUCCCAGCCGAGCUCUCCAUCACGCUGGGCGUCGUGUCCCACAACGUGCUCCUCAAGUGCAUGGUCGCCAUGGGGGACGUCGCCGGCGCCCUCCAGGUGUUCGACGGAAUGCCUAUCCGCUCGUUCGUCAUCGAUCCUUAUAUUGGUUGUUGCGAAAUUGCUAUGA